CCUAGUUUAAAUUAAAAAAAAUGUUUGGGCAAAUUGUGGACGGCCCGAGUAAAAUAAUAUUAACAGGACCGAAUGAACAACCUUUGAGUCUGUAAUUUAAAAAUAUAAAAACUCUUAGCGUGAGGGCAAAGUUAUGCUGAAAGCCAUAAGCGACCAAUACGCGAAGAAGGUUUUCCUUUCUCGUAUUCGGAAAAUGGUACGACAGGCCAAGGCAACUAAAUAAACUGAAGUCUCCAGAGGUCCGUUGUGCUGGGCAAGUAGUGUAGAGACACGGCGCAGAUAUUCAUAGAACUCAAAGUAACCUGGAAAUGUAACCCAAAGGGAUACGUCUUCAUUCGAUUAAAUUCCCUCAGGAAUAAACCACGGCCUUUUUGCAAGCUAUUGCCGUAUGUAAAUGCUUUACUUCGUGUUAUUGGCAGUGGGUUAAUGUUUUCGCUUACUCAUACAUACUUCCUUCGAGUCAACGUACCCGCUCAAUAAUACAUAACGUAAUUUGUUUCCAUCUAAAAGUCAAGUUCAAGUUUAGCUUUAAUCAGCACGUAAUUUUAAUAGAAUUUUUUAUGUCCUGUUGAGAAUUACCACACGUUUGGGAGCUCCGGGUAAACACUUUCCAACUAUAAAAACCCCGCAUUUCCACACUUGAAUCAUUCAAUUUUUAUCGUAUACAAAAUGAGGCACUUUUUAAUCUUAUCUCUCUUGUUUGUGCUCGCAGUUGUAGUGGCCCCUUACUGCCUCCCAAAUUGCGGACUGAUGCCAUUCCAAUAUGUUCCCUUAAAAGCCAAACUCAAAGCUAAACUUUGUGCCAAAUUCUGUGGAGCUAUGACUCCCGCGCAAACCAUUUGGUGGGCGUAAAUUACACUAGUUUAAUAUGUUACUGUAAAUUACUUAUUUUUAAUAAUAAAUAUAUUAUAUUAA